GCAACGCUUCGGGCGGAGAGGCAGCAGGGGAUGGAGAGGGAGUGACCCGGGGUCCGGCAGGGGAUUCGGCUGGGUAAGUUAGUUGGGCACAGUCCACUUC